rnacentral:lncRNA from 1 species
UUAUCCCCAUCCAUCCUCUGAUCAAAGAAGUGCCGAACAUGAGUAGAUGGGUGUGAAAAAACAUCAAGAGCUUGUCCUUUUUGUCACACAAAAAGAACUCAUCAAAAGUGAUCGACGGGUGGAAGGAUUAGGAUGAGGUUUUAAUCAAAUUCAAAACUCCUUUUAAAUUCAAAUCAAAACCAACCACAAUCCUAUCCAAGUGGACAAUAAAGUGGAGCAUUUGUUGGAGAAAUCUCAUGUAUAAACAAGCUUUGUGCGAUGAGGAAUGGCAUGG